rnacentral:misc_RNA from 1 species
GAUGAAGAACGUAGCGAAAUGCGAUACGUAAUGUGAAUUGCAGAAUUCAGUGAAUCAUCGAAUCUUUGAACGCACAUUGCGCCCGCCAGCACUCUGGCGGGCAUGCCUGUUCGAGCGUCAUUUCAACCAUCAAGCCCCAGGCUUGUGUUGGAGCCCUGCGGCUGCCGCAGCCUCCCAAAACCAGUGGCGGGCUCGCUAUCACACCGAGUGCAGUAGUUUACUCUUCGCUCAGGGCGUGUGGCGGGUGCUAGCCGUGAAACCCCCAACUUCUCAAGGUUGACCUCGGAUCAGGUAGGAAUACCCGCUGAACUUAAGCAUAUCAAUAAGCGGAGGA